rnacentral:rRNA from 1 species
GAUGAACGCUGGCGGCGUGCCUAAUACAUGCAAGUCGAGCGAACAGAUAAGGAGCUUGCUCCUUUGACGUUAGCGGCGGACGGGUGAGUAACACGUGGAUAACCUACCUAUAAGACUGGGAUAACUUCGGGAAACCGGAGCUAAUACCGGAUAACAUAUUGAACCGCAUGGUUCAAUAGUGAAAGGCGGCUUUGCUGUCACUUAUAGAUGGAUCCGCGCCGUAUUAGCUAGUUGGUAAGGUAACGGCUUACCAAGGCAACGAUACGUAGCCGACCUGAGAGGGUGAUCGGCCACACUGGAACUGAGACACGGUCCAGACUCCUACGGGAGGCAGCAGUAGGGAAUCGUCCGCAAUGGGCGAAAGCCUGACGGAGCAACGCCGCGUGAGUGAUGAAGGUCUUCGGAUCGUAAAACUCUGUUAUCAGGGAAGAACAAAUGUGUAAGUAACUGUGCACAUCUUGACGGUACCUGAUCAGAAAGCCACGGCUAACUACGUG